rnacentral:rRNA from 1 species
CCCUUACUCCCUUGGUCGUUGCCGUUCUCCACCACGACGCGGCCGCGCGACAUAGAGUACGUACGUGGAGGACGGACGCCGACCUAGUACCGUGCCAGCNCGCGACGUAAGUAGGAGGGGCUAGCGUUAUCCGGAUUUACUGGGCUCAACUUGGGUGCUGCAUUCCAAACUGGUUAUCUAGAGUGCAGGAGAGGAGAGUGGAAUUCCUAGUGUAGCGGUGAAAUGCGUAGAGAUUAGGAAGAACACCAGUGGCGAAGGCGACUCUCUGGACUGUAACUGACGCUG